ACUUGUACUGUGAAACUGCGAAUGGCUCAUUAAAUCAGUUAUCGUUUAUUUGAUAGUACCUUACUACAUGGAUACCUGUGGUAAUUCUAGAGCUAAUACAUGCUAAAAACCCCGACUUCAGGAAGGGGUGUAUUUAUUAGAUAAAAAACCAACGCCCUUCGGGGCUCCUUGGUGAAUCAUAAUAACUUAACGAAUCGCAUGGCCUUGCGCCGGCGAUGGUUCAUUCAAAUUUCUGCCCUAUCAACUUUCGAUGGUAGGAUAGUGGCCUACCAUGGUGGCAACGGGUAACGGGGAAUUAGGGUUCGAUUCCGGAGAGGGAGCCUGAGAAACGGCUACCACAUCCAAGGAAGGCAGCAGGCGCGCAAAUUACCCAAUCCCGAUACGGGGAGGUAGUGACAAUAAAUACUGAUACGGGGCUCUUUUGGGUCUCGUAAUUGGAAUGAGAACAAUUUAAAUCCCUUAACGAGGAACAAUUGGAGGGCAAGUCUGGUGCCAGCAGCCGCGGUAAUUCCAGCUCCAAUAGCGUAUAUUAAAGUUGUUGCAGUUAAAAAGCUCGUAGUUGAACCUUGGGCCUGGCUGGCCGGUCCGCCUCACCGCGAGUACUGGUCCGGCUGGGCCUUUCCUUCUGGGGAACCUCAUGGCCUUCACUGGCUGUGGGGGGAACCAGGACUUUUACUGUGAAAAAAUUAGAGUGUUCAAAGCAGGCCUUUGCUCGAAUACAUUAGCAUGGAAUAAUAGAAUAGGACGUGUGGUUCUAUUUUGUUGGUUUCUAGGACCGCCGUAAUGAUUAAUAGGGAUAGUCGGGGGCGUCAGUAUUCAGCUGUCAGAGGUGAAAUUCUUGGAUUUGCUGAAGACUAACUACUGCGAAAGCAUUCGCCAAGGAUGUUUUCAUUAAUCAGGGAACGAAAGUUAGGGGAUCGAAGACGAUCAGAUACCGUCGUAGUCUUAACCAUAAACUAUGCCGACUAGGGAUCGGACGGGAUUCUAUAAUGACCCGUUCGGCACCUUACGAGAAAUCAAAGUUUU
rnacentral:rRNA from 2 species